ensembl:lncRNA
UUAUUUUUGGUCUUUUUGUCCAUAUUUGUGAUUUCAUUAGUAUAGGGAAUUACUUGUGAGGGAACUCCCUCUACAAUGUAUAGUUUUUGUAGAAGCAUUAUUGAAGGCAAAUAGGAAUUGUCAAUAGAAUGUCCAAGUUGGAGUCAGGAAGAUCUAAAUUCAAAUCCUGCCUCAGAUGUUUACUAGCUCUGCGACCUCAGGCAAGUUGCUUAAUCUCUGUCUGACUGAGUUUCUUCACUAGCCAAAUGGAGAUAACAAAAGCCCUUGCCUCAUGAGAUUAUGGAUAUUCAAUGAGAUAAAGUAGCCUGUGAAUGUUAGCUGUUUUAUCUUACAGAUUUACCUGGGAGCACUGAGAGCUCAAGAAAUAACUUGCCCACAGCUACCGAGGUGGGACCUCCUCCCAGGUUUUCCUGAAUCUGAGUCCAGCUCUCUGCCCACUAUGUGCACUGCCUUCCAAGAUGUGUCAUUUCAUAGCAUUAGUUGAAACUAAUGAGAUCCAGAGAAAAUGGAAAAAUGAACAGAUAAGCCUUGAUGAAGAGGAAUGGCGGGUUACAAAAAUACAGAGAAUGACGUAUGGAAAAUUGGGUCCAGCUCUUUUGACAGAUGAGGAAACUAAGACAAGGAUAAGUGACUUGUCCCAAGUCACAUAA